rnacentral:rRNA from 1 species
AGUGAACGCUGGCGGUAGGCCUAACACAUGCAAGUCGAACGGCAGCACAGUAAGAGCUUGCUCUUACGGGUGGCGAGUGGCGGACGGGUGAGGAAUACAUCGGAAUCUACUUUUUCGUGGGGGAUAACGUAGGGAAAAUUACGCUAAUACCGCAUACGACCUACGGGUGAAAGCAGGGGAUCUUCGGAUCUUGCGCGAUUGAAUGAGCCGAUGUCGGAUUAGCUAGUUGGCGGGGUAAAGGCCCACCAAGGCGACGAUCCGUAGCUGGUCUGAGAGGAUGAUCAGCCACACUGGAACUGAGACACGGUCCAGACUCCUACGGGAGGCAGCAGUGGGGAAUAUUGGACAAUGGGCGCAAGCCUGAUCCAGCCAUGCCGCGUGGGUGAAGAAGGCCUUCGGGUUGUAAAGUCCUUUUGUUGGGAAAGAAAAGCAGCAGGUUAAUACCCCGCUGUUCUGACGGUACCCAAAGAAUAAGCACCGGCUAACUUCGUG